GAGGAACAAUUGAAAAUCGAAAAGAGCGAAAUUUGUACCAGAUGGCGGGUGCGCGCCCUUGUCUAUAACCCGUUUA
ensembl:ncRNA F46F2.9 ncRNA